UACGUAGGCAGCAAGCGUUGUUCGGAAUUACUGGGCGUAAAGAGUGUGUAGGCGGUGUUCUAAGUCUGUUGUGAAAUCUCCCGGCUUAACUGGGAGGGUGCGGCGGAGACUGGAAUGCUAGAGUGUGGGAGAGGUAAGCGGAAUUCCUGGUGUAGCGGUGAAAUGCGUAGAUAUCAGGAGGAACACCUGUGGUGUAGACAGCUUACUGGACCACGACUGACGCUGAGGCGCGAAAGCGUGGGGAGCAAACAGG
rnacentral:rRNA from 1 species